CUCUUAUAUUCUCUCAAGGGCUUGAAGCAGUUUCAUUUUACUACAAGUUCCUGCAAGAAAAUCUCCAAAUUCCAGUGGCCUGGCUUUAUCAGCUUUUCCCUCAAGUUUGAAUGAUCCUGCACAGACUUACUGUAAUUUCAUUUGAAGCCAGUUUUCUCUCAUCCAGCUUCAUCUUCCAGCACAUGAGCUCAUGACUUUUGUAUGAUUUCAAUAUGAAGUCAUCAGCUGGGCCCCAGUUUCCUGGAUGGGCUUUAAACCCUCAGGAUCCUUUGAAUAAACCAGUGCUGCAUGAAGUGAGAAGCUUACUCCAUCACAUGUCUCCCACCGUGAUCUACUGCCUCACCACAGACCCAGAAACAACAUGGCCUAGGAACCAUGUCCUGAAAUCUCUACAACUACUCGAUGUGGUGAGCAGCUUCCUUUGCAUGUGCUUUUGCCAUGACAUCCUGUCUCACCACAGGCCAAAAAGCAACUGUCCAUGGACUGGAACCCCUGAGACUAUGAGCCAAAAUAAAU
rnacentral:lncRNA from 1 species